rnacentral:rRNA from 1 species
UACGAGUGCCUCGAGCGUUAUCCGGAAUCAUUGGGCGUAAAGGGUGUGCAGGCGGUCUGAUUAGUCUUCUGUUAAAUUUCUCGGCUUAACCGGGAACCUGCAGGGGAAACGGUCAGACUUGAGGAUGCGAGAGGUUUACGGAACUCAUAGUGUAGCGGUGAGAUGCGUUGAUACUAUGGGGAACACCAAAUGCGAAGGCAGUAAACUGGAGCACUCCUGACGCUGAAACACGAAAGCGUGGGUAGCGAAUGGGAUUAGAUACCCCAGUAGUCCACGCCCUAAACGAUCUUCUCUAGGUUUUCGGAGUAUCGACCCUCUGAGAGCCACAGCUAACGCGUUAAGAGAAGCGCCUGGGUAGUACGGCCGCAAGGCUAAA